AUGCCGUGAUGAGGGAACUUUCGUAAUAACUCCUUGAACUACUCCCAUGCCUCAUAUAAAGAGUCUUCAUCAAGAUGCUAAAAUGAAGUGAUUUCAUUUCAGAUCUU
rfam:Gossypium raimondii chromosome 10, whole genome shotgun sequence.